GAAGGUUACACUUUGGAUGCCGGUUCAUUAAUCAGGUUGUCUGUCUACUGGCCUAGUGCAUACAGUUGUCUCACUCAGACUGAAGACUCUCAGCAGUGCCCGUACAUUGGGUUCACAUCAUCAUCCUCGUGCCCUUAUAUAACAACCCAGAAAUUCUCCAACCGUGUGACAUGGCAGAUUCCCUGGAAUCCAGCUCCAGUGAGGAAAGUCUCCUUAUGCAGUGGAACAUUUCCAGUCGACGCAGCCGAAAGUCUGGAUGCUCUAACAUUUUUACAGGCUUGAACAUGCAUCAGCUACACAGGCUGUUCAGAAUGUCAGGGGAGAGAAAUGCUGAGCAUCGGGCGAAGCUGGUGUGGCAGGGGAUAGAUGACGAUAUGCCAGGAGCAAAUGAAGAAAAGGAUGAGAAAGAAGGGGAAGAAACAGGGCUGGCCGAGGCCUUGGUAGGACUGAGAGUCCGAGCAAGGAAUAAAGCAGGAAUCAGAGUAGAGGGACGGAAAGAUCACAAGUGGAACAGAGCACUGGGAUAUCUCAGGAUUAAGGAGCCAUUAUCUGACUUUAGUGCUGAUGAUGAAGAAA